UGUUAAUGGCAAUAGGCAAAGACACCAUGUUAGUGGUGUUGUUCAUCUAUCAGUCAGGAGCAGAACAGAUGGCAGUCCUUUGUUCAUCUAGCUUGGUGCCUGGCUUGGUGGCCAAAGCUGUUUUAUGCCUAGGACACAUAA